rnacentral:lncRNA from 1 species
UUGAAUAUGAAACCAAAAAGGAGAAAAUGGGUAAAAUGAGCAUAAGAAAAGAGAAUAAGUUACAUCCAAUUUGAGCAUACUAGAAGAUUUUGAGAUUUAAAACAGUAAAAAAGAGAAGAAAAGAAAAAAAUAGGGUGGAAGGGGAUCAUGGCAGGCCGAUCUGCAAAAUAGUCGACAUUGGAAGAUGAUACUCCUUUCCGUUCUUUUAUUUUCUAGUAACCUGUAAAAAAUAAAAAAAUGAGCAGAAUAACUAAUAGAAGAUAAGAGAAAAUAAGGGGUCACUGGAAAAAUUCGCCGACCAAAACUCCGGCUAGUGAGAAACUAUUUAUUUAUAUGAGUCUUUUUGGUACAUCCCCACUUUUUUGGGCAGCUCCAUCCGAUAUUCUGGUUGAAACCUAGUUCACCAUAUUUGAAGAGAAGAGAAGAAGUGACGAGGUUGGGGGAUGAAGGUCUGG